UACAGAGGGUGCGAGCGUUAAUCGGAAUUACUGGGCGUAAAGCGUGCGCAGGCGGUUCGUUAAGUUCGUUGUGAAAGCCCCGGGCUCAACCUGGGAAUGGCAAUGGAAACUGGCGAGCUUGAGUGUGGCAGAGGGGGGUGGAAUUCCGCGUGUAGCAGUGAAAUGCGUAGAGAUGCGGAGGAACACCGAUGGCGAAGGCAGCCCCCUGGGCCAACACUGACGCUCAGGCACGAAAGCGUGGGGAGCAAACAGG
rnacentral:rRNA from 1 species